GGCCUGGUGGCACAGUGGUAGUGCAUCUGCUUGCAAUAUUGAAGUGACAAAACAGUAGGCGGACAAUGUCGGUUUGAGUCCGGCCUGGACCC